ACGCUGGCGGCGUGCCUAAUACAUGCAAGUCGAACGGACGAGUAAGAGCUUGCUCUUAUGAGUUAGUGGCGCACGGGUGAGUAAUGUAUAGCUAAUCUGCCCUACACUAGAGGACAACAGUUGGAAACGACUGCUAAUACUCUAUACUCCUCUCUAGCAUAAGUUAGAUAGGGAAAGUUUUUCGGUGUAGGAUGAGGCUAUAUUGUAUCAGCUAGUUGGUGAGGUAAUGGCUCACCAAGGCUAUGACGCAUAACUGGUCUGAGAGGAUGAUCAGUCACACUGGAACUGAGACACGGUCCAGACUCCUACGGGAGGCAGCAGUAGGGAAUAUUGCUCAAUGGGGGAAACCCUGAAGCAGCAACGCCGCGUGGAGGAUGACACUUUUCGGAGCGUAAACUCCUUUUGUUAGGGAAGAACAAUGACGGUACCUAACGAAUAAGCACCGGCUAACUCCGUGCCAGCAGCCGCGGUAAUACGGAGGGUGCAAGCGUUACUCGGAAUCACUGGGCGUAAAGGACGCGUAGGCGGAUUAUCAAGUCUCUUGUGAAAUCCUAUGGCUUAACCAUAGAACUGCUUGGGAAACUGAUAAUCUAGAGUGAGGGAGAGGCAGAUGGAAUUGGUGGUGUAGGGGUAAAAUCCGUAGAGAUCACCAGGAAUACCCAUUGCGAAGGCGAUCUGCUGGAACUCAACUGACGCUAAUGCGUGAAAGCGUGGGGAGCAAACAGGAUUAGAUACCCUGGUAGUCCACGCCCUAAACGAUGUAUACUAGUUGUUGCUAAGCUAGUCUUGGCAGUAAUGCACCUAACGGAUUAAGUAUACCGCCUGGGGAGUACGGUCGCAAGAUUAAAACUCAAAGGAAUAGACGGGGACCCGCACAAGCGGUGGAGCAUGUGGUUUAAUUCGAAGAUACGCGAAG
rnacentral:rRNA from 1 species